rnacentral:tRNA from 1 species
GAGGCCUUAGCUUAAGUAAAGUGUCUGAGUUGCAGUCAGUUGAUGUGAUUAGGUCACAGGCCUUCAGAA